rnacentral:rRNA from 1 species
UGGGGAAUAUUGGUCAAUGGGCGGAAGCCUGAACCAGCCAUCCCGCGUGAAGGAAGAAGGCCUUAUGGGUUGUAAACUUCUUUUCUGUUUGAAGAAUAAGCUUGUCGUGACAAGUGAUGCCGGUAGGACAGGAAUAAGCAUCGGCUAACUCCGUGCCAGCAGCCGCGGUAAUACGGAGGAUGCAAGCGUUAUCCGGAUUUAUUGGGUUUAAAGGGUGCGCAGGUGGUUUAAUAAGUCAGUGGUGAAAGUCUGCCGCUUAACGGUAGGAUUGCCAUUGAUACUGUUGGACUUGAAUAUGGAUUAGGUAGGCGGAAUGUGUAGUGUAGCGGUGAAAUGCUUAGAUAUUACACAGAACACCGAUUGCGAAGGCAGCUUACUAAUCCAUGAUUGUCGCUGAGGCACGAAAGCGUGGGGAUCAAACAG